rnacentral:lncRNA from 1 species
GCUGUAUUAACUUGUUAACGCUAACAACACAUGUGCUUCUGAAAUUCUAAAAGAUCCAGCGAUGGAUUUUAAGAGUCUUUGAAACACAAACAACUACAACACCCAGAAUCCUCCAAUACUGGUCGCUACUGACUUUCACGUAAAUGCAGAUUAAGAAAGCAUUUGGAACACGCGGCCUCUGAGAAUGACUCGACGGCGUUGCACAGAUGAAAAUGCGAUUUAAGCACGAGAAUAGGGGGGGAGUGGCAGAAUUAUCAGAGGUCUUGCCUGGGGCGCCCCGAAGAGGACGGAGCUGUACGAGUUCCACCGGCAGCACGGGGCCCGGAUGGUGGAGUUCGCCGGCUGGAGCAUGCCGGUGCAGUACCGCGACAGCCACAUCGCCUCCCACCUGCACACGCGCCAGCGCUGCUCGCUGUUCGACGUCGGCCACAUGCUGCAGGUGAGAGA